rnacentral:rRNA from 1 species
GAUGAACGCUAGCGAUAGGCUUAACACAUGCAAGUCGAGGGGCAGCACGGUGUAGCAAUACACUGGUGGCGACCGGCGUACGGGUGCGUAACACGUAUGCAACCUACCCGCUAUUGGGGGAUAACCCGGCGAAAGUCGGACUAAUAUCCCAUAUUAUUCUUACCGGGCAUCCGGUGAGUCUGAAAGAUUUAUCGAUUGCGGAUGGGCAUGCGGAUGAUUAGCUAGUAGGUGGGGUAACGGCUCACCUAGGCGACGAUCAUUAGGGGUUCUGAGAGGAAGGUCCCCCACACUGGAACUGAGACACGGUCCAGACUCCUACGGGAGGCAGCAGUGAGGAAUAUUGGUCAAUGGGCGCUAGCCUGAACCAGCCAAGUCGCGUGAAGGAUGACAGAUCUAUGGUUUGUAAACUUCUUUUGCAGGGGAGUAAAGUGCGACACGUGUGUUGUAUUGCAAGUACCCUGCGAAUAAGCAUCGGCUAACUCCGUGCCAGC